CAUUCUAAUUUUAUGGUUUCACAGUGGCUUGGUUCAGCACUCCUUUUUUACUUUUAUGUAGAAAUUUAGAAAUACCUACUCAAAUUUCUACUUUAGAAAUAUCUACUCAUAUAACUAACAGCAAAAAGACACAAAAUGCAAAGACAAAGAAAUUAAACUAACAUUUUUGAGAAACAUAGCAGAACUAUUUCUGUUGGGACUAGACUUUGAUUUAGAAAGCUUUGUACUUAUUGACAGUUCAUUCUGCUUUCAUUUGAAACUUGUAACAGAUAAAUGUAUUCUUCUCCCAGCAGACUGCGGAGUGGGUCAGGAGUGGGAUGAUCCCAGAUGGUCUGACUGGAUACUGAGUCUAAUUGAGCUGGCCACGCCUCCUCACAUGUGCCCUGCUUCCAGUUUCUUCGACUCAGUGGAUCUGGCCAGACGUGUUCUGAGUUAUCUCACUCCUCACUCCAGCCUUCAUCUUCUUCCUUUUUGCUUCAAUUCGACUGUGAUUUCUCCUUAUUGCUGUGCGUGCUGGCCAUUCCAGUUUAGGCUGGAAACACCGCCACCGCGCCGCCGCCGCACCACCACCGCCUCACAGCUGAGAGGCUUUCAGGUCUAGCGGCUUCUUCUAGCGGCUCCGCUGACCCUCUCCGCUAUCGCCGCCGCCUUUGUUCUCCCAUCUUCGACCGACACCCAGCUGACGGAGAACAGCAGUGAGGAGGAUCACAGCAGCUUGGAGAGUUCCACUCGCCGCUUUAACCUGUGCCGCUUCGCUGCUGCCGCAACAGUUACUACGCCCCUCCAGCCAGCAACCAAGCUCGCUGAGGGUCUCUUUCAGACAAAUAUCAACUAUUCCGGCAACUUUCAACUAUGAAAGAAUGCUUAAUGAAGGGGGAAUUAUUGUAGCAAGAAUGUUGACCAGCCGAUGACCAGAAAAUAUCAGCACAUUAGACCUUGUUGCAGUUCAAAGCCUCCUGGAUAUAACCCUGUUGAUCUAGCAUGUAGGAAGUUGAUACAUGUAGGAAGUUGAAAUCACAAUAAGUGCUCCUUGUGAAACUUGAUUCCAACUGUGACUGCUAGAAAACUCAUUGCAAUCAGCGAUUUGCUAUACAUCCAAUACUAACCUCUGUAUAUUUUUAUCUGAGGACCUUGUAAAUAAAGAUGACAGGGAUUUCCAGAA